UGCGCUACCCGGAUGUGACAUUGGUUCAGGAAAUUGCAGGAAUGAGGGAUGUUUACCGGGAUGGCAGGGCCUAUCUUGUUCAGAUGAAUGCAGAAAUGGGACGUUUGGAAAAGAUUGUUUUGAAAUAUGCCACUGCAGUGUUCCUGGUUGCCAUCACGUUACUGGUGUCUGUAACCAUCAGGAUGCAGGAUGUCAAGACGGUUGGACGGGUACAUCAUGUGACAACUGUAAAGCUGAUGAUUUGAUGUACAUUGUCAUCAUUGUAUGCAUGGGUGUACUGCUGGUCGUCUCUAUCGCAAC